rnacentral:rRNA from 1 species
UACGAAGGGGGCUAGCGUUGCUCGGAAUCACUGGGCGUAAAGGGUGCGUAGGCGGGUCUUUAAGUCAGGGGGGAAAUCCUGGAGCUCAACUCCAGAACUGCCUUUGAUACUGAGGAUCUUGAGUUCGGGAGAGGUGAGUGGAACUGCGAGUGUAGAGGUGAAAUUCGUAGAUAUUCGCAAGAACACCAGUGGCGAAGGCGGCUCACUGGUCCAGCACUGACGCUGAGGUGCGAAAGCGUGGGGAGCAAACAGG